rnacentral:lncRNA from 1 species
CCGUCCAGCUCUCGCUUGUCCAGCGCAGGCCGCGGGAGCUGCCGAGCCUUGGCGAGAAGGGCGGCCUCGGGCGUUUUGUGGACGCGCUCGGCGCUUUCUCCUUGGUUCGGCGCUUACCUCGGACGGCCACCAGCUCGGUUCCCUGAGAGACCCCGGGGAGACUGCGGACGGUGUCGGGAUCCCGGCCCCCGCCUCCCGCAAACGGCGUCCUCCCCGCUCCUCGCUCUGCGCGAAUCCUGCGGGAAGCUCCGAUCUCAGGCAACUGGAUUUUGCUUUUGUGGUUUUUUGUUUGUUUUGUUUGUUUUUUAGCUCACCAGCUUAACCUCGCAGCACUGCCCUUUUAUGAGACUGUAAGACAUCUAAUUAUGUGAUUCUUGCUUAUUUUUACUUUUUUUUUUUUGUCAUUUCUGGAAUACGGCAGUAGUGUCCUUCCUGCAUGGGGGGUGUGUACACAUGCACGCAUACAUAGAGUUCCUGUAUGCACUGCACUCCAGCAAUCGGAUUAAUAAAUUAUUCAUGAACAGAUUUGACAGGAUUAUUAACAAUUUUAUAUGCCGCUGCAAAUAAAGCCAACUGCCAUACACAUUUUGUGCUACUCACCACAUCUAUGGGUCCCGUUUUAGUUGCUCUAUAGAAUCUGCAUAAAUACGUUUUUAUUAAACAGCUACCUUAGUAAAGUACAGUUAGGAAUGGCAAGAUCUUUAUUAGAAGUGAGUUACUGUUUAGGAUGCUCAUACCUUUAAAGAUUCAAAUACUGUAUAAAGUUUAACUUCCUCUCUAUUUCUACGAAGUUGGUUUAGAGAACAAGAAUGAUUCUUUAAAAAACCCGUGAAGCAAAGUAGAUUAGGUAUUUUUAAUCAAAAGCACUUGAAAAGUUAAAAAAUGCAAGUUCUUGAAGGGUGGAGGGAAGGGAUGCGGAACAACAAAGAUGUUUUAGUCUUCAGGAGCGAUUAUUUGCAACAUUAGACCCAAAGUGAAACAUUAUUUUCUUUUUCUAACUUAGAUGUCUGUUUUAAAAAUUUUUGAUGGAUACAGUUGACAUUUACCUUGGCACCAAUACAUAAAGUGUACCUCAUUUCACAACAGGAUGCAAAUGGAGUAAGCAUCAGUAACAGAUUGAGUAACUACUCAGCCCUCCUUUGAAAGCUUUAAAAGGCACGUGCAGUGGCUCCUCACUCGGUGAGAAUAUAGUAGCAGUGAAGGAUUUAAAAGUCUCCCUAGAGUCUUUAUGAAACAAGCACCUAUUAAUCAUGUUCAUCUUUUCUUCCCAUCACUCAUCUUCCUAAUUUGUUUCUCAUUAGUAGUAAAAUGUCAGUUGAAAAACUUCAUGAUACCUGAUUACAUAGAGAAUAGUCAGGACAGAGUUGUGUAAAUGUUCAACAAUAUUAACAACACCCAAGCUUAUUAUGUUUAUUACACAUGUAUUUUAUGACCUAGUGUAACGUUGAUUAUUAAUACUCUAAUAGAAUUUGAGUUGAUAACUCUAAUACUCAAUUUAGUGUCAAAAAAGAGAGUAUUAAUCAUGGACAUAGAUUUUAAAAUAUUAUUUUAAAAGAAAAAUAAACACAAGUGGUUGUCAAUUUGUGGGCAUGAAAGUUAGGAAAUUCAGAAGGAUUGUUUCCAUAAUAGCUGUCAUAUUACUUUGUUGCCCAUGUAUAAGUACUUUCUCUUAGAAUGUUUCCUCCUCUUAGGCCUAAGUAUAUUCAUGUGUUAGGCCUAAGUGAUGGGCACAUUUUAAGCUCACAAAAAUUUUCACCAUAAUGUGUUCUAAUGCUAGAAAAACGGAAUUUUCCUACUACAGGUAUAUUUAUUUAAACUUCCUUUGAAGGAGGCACAGGAUCGAGUGUUUCAAACGUGUGUCUUUGACAAGUCAUUGAAAUACAUGGAAGUAUGAUCAUCAAAAGGCAUGACUACCCAGAUGUAGACUCUCUUGGUUACAGCCAUAAAGAUCAAUGCAUUUUAUGUUAGAAAAACUACAUAUGAACAUAUUCUGAAAGUAUGAAAAUACUGUUUAAAAUUUUGCUUUACUCAAAACAGCAUUGGAACUUUGACUAAACUUUAAAAAAUUCUGCAUGCUCAAAGCCAGUAAACUAAAUUUGGCUUCCCAAAAGCCUUUUAAAAGAACAAUUAUGUGCAGCUGAAAACAACAAAAUACAGAUGCAACCAUCUUCACAUUAACAAUAUAUCUUGCCUCCUAAACUGCAAAUAUUAGGUAGACAAUGCUGAUAAAUUUAUUUUUCUUUUUGAGAAUCUAGAAAUCAUUUGAAGAACUAGAAGUUACCUUUUUAAACAAUGUUUUAGAGUUUCAAGUACAUUUGAUAUCCUUUGAACUGGUUAAUAUUUUUAGAAACAAAUUUAAUAUUGGUCCCUUUAUUGUGAUUACAAUUAAAUAGGCUAGGGCUUUUACCGGAUCUAUGUGGUCAGCUUUUCCCACAGGCCUCAUUGCUGCAUUUGUUAGUGUUAUGAAUUACAAUAUUUUCUUUUUCAGAUUGUAUAAGUACUUUUGCUUUUGUGCAAAUAACGCUGAAGGAAGAUAUUCCUUUAGAUUGAAGAGCUCAUGGAACUCCAUGGGGAGAAAAAAUAAUAAGUUUAAGUGCCAUCGAGACAAAGACUAGUUUUAACUGGCUUAUAUAUUUAUUAUAUAUUCUAGUGGGGAUCUGUUUUAUCCCUGCCUGCUCAUAUGCUACAGAGAAGAAAGUUUAGAACACUUUAGAAACUACCUCUAAAUAAGAAACCAUUCUCUCUGUGUUCCCUAACACCGAUGCUUUGAUGGUUACUUUAAACUCUGAGAUAUUUGUUAAUGAAAAUAGUCUUUACUGUUUUAAAGCUAUUUUAACCACAAAUGGACAGUUGGAAGGAGUAUUUAACUGAGUUAUAUAUGACACUUGAGAGUAUAAGUCAAAAACUGUUUCAGUGAAGUUUAUAAAACCUGUCUAUAUUCUUUUAUUAAAUAACUUGGCAAGGCAUAGUUUGUGACUUGGAAUUUGAAUGGUCAAGUUUUUGCACAUUCAUGAUCACAGAGUUCAGUGGUCUCAAAUUGCAUCUUAUAUCACACUGUGAGACACCAAACUGAGUAUUCAGAGGGGACAGUAAAGCUUUUAUUUUCAAUUUAAACAUGUAAUCCAAUCCCUAAUUAUUUCUAAACAGUCAUUGCUGCAAUAAUUGAUAUGGACAAAUAUAACCUUUUCUCACAUUGUAUAGUUUAAUUUGCAUAUGUGGAUUUAAAAAUGUGUGAGGGAAAUGAAAUACAAAUUACAUUAAAUAAACUGUAACCACAGGGUUUAAAAUUAAUGAUACAGUGUUCUCUAAAACAGAUAACUUACGCUUAUGAUUUGGCACAAGUGUUUUGUAUUUUUCCCCUAAAACUUUUUUGAAUAAAUUUAUAUUAAAUGGUAAAUAGUACAAUUUCUAUUUAAUAUUGUCAUCAUUUAGUACCAUUUUAUGUUAUUUAUUUAUUUAUCUAUUUAUUUUAGUAGAGAUGGGGGUUUUUCCAUGUUGGCCAGGCUGCUCCCGAACUCCUGACCUCAGAUGAUCCGCCCACCUUGGCCUCCCAAAGUGCUGGGAUUACAGGCGUGAGCCACUGCACCCGGCCGGUACCAUUUUAAAUAUUUCAUUUUCGUAAGUUUUAUCUGGGAAAUAUAAAACAUAAAACUUCAAAAUAUAAGAAAAAUUAAAUAUUUUAAAUCUAAGUUUUAAAAAGUCAAAUUAUCA